GAUGAACGCUGGCGGCGUGCCUAAUACAUGCAAGUCGAGCGAACAGACGAGGAGCUUGCUCCUCUGACGUUAGCGGCGGACGGGUGAGUAACACGUGGAUAACCUACCUAUAAGACUGGGAUAACUUCGGGAAGCCGGAGCUAAUACCGGAUAAUAUAUUGAACCGCAUGGUUCAAUAGUGAAAGACGGUUUUGCUGUCACUUAUAGAUGGAUCCGCGCCGCAUUAGCUAGUUGGUAAGGUAACGGCUUACCAAGGCAACGAUGCGUAGCCGACCUGAGAGGGUGAUCGGCCACACUGGAACUGAGACACGGUCCAGACUCCUACGGGAGGCAGCAGUAGGGAAUCUUCCGCAAUGGUCGAAAGCCUGACGGAGCAACGCCGCGUGAGUGAUGAAGGUCUUCGGAUCGUAAAACUCUGUUAUUAGGGAAGAACAAAUGUGUAAGUAACUAUGCACGUCUUGACGGUACCUAAUCAGAAAGCCACGGCUAACUACGUG
rnacentral:rRNA from 1 species